ACAUUCGAAGUUGAAACAAUGAAGUGUUUCGAUUUUUUUUAACUCUACAGGAUCAAGACCAAUGUUAGUCGGAGUGUCUUCUGCCUUGCACCUAACUACUGUAGGAGUACGCCAUGUGCAAAUGGAGGAACAUGUAUUGCAGGCCGUGACGGUUUCACAUGCGCAUGUAAGGCAGGAUAUACAGGUCGUACGUGUGAUGGCGAUCCUUGUACUGUUUCAACAAUGAUACCAGACAUAGAGAAAAGAGGGCCAUCUAACACCCACGCUGGACAAGUCAGAGAUUCG